AAGGACUUAAGUUAAACAAACUAUAAACCUUCAAAGUUUAAAUUAAAAUAGAAAUUUUAGGCCUUA
rnacentral:tRNA from 1 species